UUUUGAAGACCAUGAUAAUGUCAAAGUGAAGGAAACAUCUCAUAAUUCUUUUAAUGUAAAUUGCAAAAAUUUGAAACCUGAUGAAUGGAAUGGACCUAAGGGAAUAUAUAUAGCCAAACUCUUAAGUAAUAGACCACCUGUAACAAAAGAAAAUCCUAAAUCCUGUUCAUUUACAUUUGAAAUAUUUUUUUACCACACAGAAUAUACUAUUGAGAUUAUAGCCAUAAAUGGAAAUAAAAAUGAAUCUUCUGCUAAAGCUACCCAUUCCACUAGAUAUAACGAUAAGGCUCUCAUUGGAUUCCUGGUGUUCCUCAUCCUUGUGACGUCACUUGCACUCCUUUUUGUGUUAUACAAACUUUU